rnacentral:rRNA from 1 species
GGAUUAGAUACCCUGGUAGUCCACGCCCUAAACGAUGUUAACUCGUUAUUCGGUCGUAGAUUGAGUGACUAAGGGAAACCGAUAAGUUAACCACCUGGGGAGUACGUUGGCAACAAUGAAACUCAAAGGAAUUGACGGGGGCCCGCACAAGCGGUGGAGCAUGUGGUUUAAUUCGAAGCAACGCGCAGAACCUUACCAGCCCUUGACAUCCCGGUCGCGGUCCUUGGAGACGAGGACUUUCAGUUCGGCUGGACCGGAGACAGGUGCUGCAUGGCUGUCGUCAGCUCGUGCCG